rnacentral:rRNA from 1 species
AUUAGGAAUUUUGCGCAAUGGGCGAAAGCCUGACGCAGCGACGCCGCGUGACUGAUGACGUCUUUCGGGAUGUAAAGGUCUUUUGCAGGGGAAGAAGGAUGUGACGGUACCCUGCGAAUAAGCCCCGGCUAACUACGUGCCAGCAGCCGCGGUAAUACGUAGGGGGCGAGCGUUGUCCGAAUUUACUGGGCGUAAAGCGCGCGUAGGCGGGCUGAUAAGUUGUGGGUGAAAUGCCGAGGCUCAACCUCGGCGCUGCCUGCAAGACUGUCGGUCUUGAGGUAUGGAGGGGAAAGUGGAAUUCCUGGUGUAGCGGUGAAAUGCGUAGAUAUCAGGAGGAACACCGAUGGCGAAGGCAGCUUUCUGGCCAUAUCCUGACGCUGAUGUGCGAAAGCCAGGGUAGCGAACGGGAUUAGAAACCCGAGUAGUCC